AUUGAACGCUGGCGGCAGGCCUAACACAUGCAAGUCGAACGAGUGGCGGACGGGUGAGUAUUGUCUGGGAAACUGCCCGAUGGAGGGGGAUAACUACUGGAAACGGUAGCUAAUACCGCAUACUAUCGGAUGUGCCCAGAUGGGAUUAGCUAGUAGGUGGGGUAACGGCUAACCUAGGCGACGAUCGCUAGCUGGUCUGAGAGGAUGACAAGCGACCAGGGAACUGAGAGACCGACCGGGCUCAGACGGGUGGCAGAAGGGGGGAAUAUUGCGCAAUGGGCGCAAGGGUGACGCAGCCAUGCGGGGGUAAUGAAGUAGGCCUUCGGGUUGGGCAGUACUUUCAGCGGAGAGGCGUUGCCAGCAGAAGAAGCACCGGCUAACUCCGUGCCAGCAGCCGCGGUAAUUC
rnacentral:rRNA from 1 species